ACGAACGCUGGCGGCGUGCUUAACACAUUCAAGUCGAACGAUGAAGCACCAGCUUGCUGGUGUGUUUUAGUGGCGAACGGUUGAUUAUCACGUGAGUAACCUGCCCCUCACUCUGGUAUAAUCCUGGGAAACUGGGUCUAAUACUGUAUACGACCGAUCUCCGCCUGGAGUGUUUUUGGAACUUUUUUGUUGUGGGGGAUUGACUCGCGGCGUAUCAGCUUGUUGGUGGGGUAGUGGCCUACCAAGGCGACGACGGGUAGCCGGCAUGAGAGGGCGAACGGCGAAAAGGGGACUGAGAGACGGACCAGAGGGCAAAGGGAGGCAGCAGUGGGGAAUAUUGCACAAUGGGCGAAAGCCUGAUGAAGAGACGCAGCGUGAGGGAUGAAGGCCUUCGGGUUGUAAAACUCAUUAACCAGGGACGAAGCUAACGUGACGGUACCUGGAGAAGAAGCACCGGCUAACUACGUG
rnacentral:rRNA from 1 species